GAUGAAGAACGCAUCGAAACGCGAUAAGUAAUGUGAAUUGCAGAAUCCAGUGAAUCAUCGAAUCUUUGAACGCACAUUGCGCCCGCCAGCAUUCUGGCGGGCAUGCCUGUUCGAGCGUCAUUUCAACCCUCGACCUCCCCUUGGGGAGGUCGGCGUUGGGGACCGGCAGCACACCGCCGGCCCUGAAAUGGAGUGGCGGCCCGUCCGCGGCGACCUCUGCGCAGUAAUACAGCUCGCACCGGGACCCCGACGCGGCCACGCCGUAAAACACCCAACUUCUGAACGUUGACCUCGAAUCAGGUAGGACUACCCGCUGAACUUAAGCAUAUCAAUAAGCGGAGGA
rnacentral:misc_RNA from 1 species